rnacentral:rRNA from 1 species
CAUCAAAAUAUUCUCUAAAUGUACCAAAUCCCAUCUGAUCUUGGAAGCAAAGCAGGGCCAACUCUGGAUAAUAAUUGGAUGGGAGACCAUAAAUGAAUACCAAGUGUUUUCGGGU